rnacentral:rRNA from 1 species
GGGGAUCCCGAGUGCGAGGGCAUACAGUCCUCGCUUUUCUGCACCGUAAGGUGGUGCAGGAAUAAGGGCUGGGCAAGACCGGUGCCAGCCGCCGCGGUAAUACCGGCAGCCCGAGUGAUGGCCGCUAUUAUUGGGCCUAAAGCGUCCGUAGCCGGCCCGAACAGGUCCGUCGGGAAAUCUGCUCGCCCAACGAGCAGGCGUCCGGCGGAAACCAGUCGGCUUGGGGCCGGAAGACCCGAGGGGUACGUCCGGGGUGGGAGUGAAAUCCCGUAAUCCCGGACGGACCGCCGGUGGCGAAAGCGCCUCGGGAAGACGGACCCGACGGUGAGGGACGAAAGCUAGGGUCACGAACCGGAUUAGAUACCCGGGUAGUCCUAGCCGUAAACGAUGCCCGCUAGGUGUGGCACCGGCUACGAGCCGGUGCUGUGCCGUAGUGAAGACGUGAAGCGGGCCGCCUGGGAAGUACGUCCGCAAGGAUGAAACUUAAAGGAAUUGGCGGGGGAGCAC